AGCAGCGCCGCGGGAAAACGGAGGGUGCAAGCGUUAUCCGGAUUCACUGGGUUUAAAGGGUGCGUAGGCGGGCAGGUAAGUCAGUGGUGAAAUCUUCGAGCUUAACUCGGAAACUGCCGUUGAUACUAUCUGUCUUGAAUAACGUUGAGGUGAGCGGAAUAUGUCAUGUAGCGGUGAAAUGCUUAGAUAUGACAUAGAACACCGAUUGCGAAGGCAGCUCACUAAACGCUCAUUGACGCUGAGGCACGAAAGCGUGGGGAUCAAACAGGAUUAGAUACCCGCGUAGUCCCUGUCUCUUAUACA
rnacentral:rRNA from 1 species